AUAGGUUAUAUAAUUAACCAACAUUUGACCACUUUUGACCAUUUUGACCACUUUUGUCCAUUGACCAGUAGUUUUUUUGACGGCUAAAAAGGUUUGGACGUCCAAAAAGAAACCUGCUUACUUUCAGAUAAGAGGGAUGAGAGCUCCCAACCUUCAAAUGGGUGGGAAUACCAUGUUCACCGCAGUGGGUGGUUCUUUUGAAUGGGAAAGCUCGCGACCAACCUUUAACCAAAGGGUGCUUUCACCAUUGUAAUCCAUCAUAUUUUUAAUUUUUCUGGGGAAGCUGUCGGAUAAAUUUUCCAACACGGUGCGCGAAAUAUUUUUCCACGUUUUUUGAAAUCUUCGAGCUAGGGACACAUGAUCGCGAGGAAUCGGGUCCUCAUAUGCCGAACUUUUGAGAUUAGACCAUAGGUUUUCUAUAGGGUUCAAAUCCGGACUGUUUCCAGCCCAAAUACCUUUCCCCCAGGGGGUUAAAGUUGCUCCUUCAAAAAUCGCAUGGUCACAUUUGCAGUAUGGGCUGGGACCCCAUCCUCCAUAAAUGUGACUUUGUUCUUAUUCGGAAAAAGAGACUUGUUGUCUAUAGUUUCGAAAUAGAUAGGCACUAUUUUUUUUUAUCGUAAUACUCUGACCUUUAAGAAUGAUAUGCACUGUUGCCACUCCUUGAAAAAAAUACCUACCAGCAACCAUCACUUGGAGUCCUUUUCUUGGUAUCCUUGCACCUGGGACUUUGGAUCUUUUUUCAGUUAUGUACCUGAUGUUUGGAGGAUUUCCAUGUGAGUGGGCGUAUAUCCUGGUUUCAUCGGUGACGAGCAUAUUUCGACUCCUUUUCCCAUCAGUCAAAUAACCGAUUUCUCCGGCGGUUUAUAUAUAUAGGCACCCUGCACGGUGUUAAAUUAACACCGGAUUAUUUGCAGUGUAUACAGUUAAAGCAGGGUAAAAAAAUUGUGUUAUUUUCUACCCUCAAACAACUCUGAGUUUCGCAGCACGUAGAUUUCAAAUCGAGUUGCAUGGUUCUAGGGAGGACAAAAAGUCCUCACAUCUUGGGCGAGUGGAGCGUGCACGCGCUCUUACCUACUUUACACGGAUUGAUGUGAAAUUUUAAACUUUGUCCUAGAGAUGUGAAAUUUGGCAUGUACAUGCACCAACAUAUGCUGCAUCAUAAUAUAGCAUCAAUUCCCGUUCCGUUCGCUAUAAAUUUUUCAGUAAAAAUCAAAAACCAAAUGUCAUCCGGGCUCGAGUGCGGUCGUGACCCUGUACACAGUUAGUGUAGCUCUGCACUCCUCUGCAGAGGCCUAUCGCAGGGCUUUAGUUAGCGUGUGGAAGAAAUGCAUGUGUUGAACGCAUCCAUUUACAUACAUAGCAGAGCUCAACCAGCUAUCGCAGCCAGAGAGAGAAUGGUGAAAUACAGAGUUGGUUGGGCUUUUAUACCCGCAGCAGUCAAUCCUGACUGCUGGCUAAACAAAUGUAAUCUUAAUUCGAUAAUUGCUUAUAUGUUAAUAUAUAAUUAAAUCAAAUGAUGAUGAUUCGGGUGGCGUCUGGCCACUCACUAGCCAGUUAAUGUCUGUCUCAGUCCUUACACGUAUUGUAACCGUGGCCCUGAUGUCGAGAGUCCGAACAGCAAUACAGUUUCGUAUCUAGGUUACUACUGCAUCCCUGAUUUCCUCUGCUCUGCUCCCUGUAUCCGUAAGGACAUUGGACCGAGUAGGUAGAGUCGCACAGGGUUUCGAUGCACUGCGGGAGGAGGUCUUGACGACAGCACAUAUUCCGUUCACGACCGCUUGGACAAGCUAAGAUUUUUGUAGACAGUAAUUUUGAAAAUCUUGAUAAAGAUUGGACAGUUAGCAUUUCUACAUUUUUAACAUUCUUUCAGUACCUCUUGACAGUGGGCAAAAUUUACGGAACAAAUUUGUAACUUAUGUAUAACGGGGGGCAUAGUCUUUGCAUUAUUGAUAUGGAUUUUGAAAAUUUAUUUAGCCCGCCCUCAAGAGCUACGAAGCUUUACGGAAAUUCUAAAAGGGUAGAAAUGCUGUCUAUUAUUUAUAUUUUUUUUAUGACAAACUUUUUCUGUCGGUGAACAUUUCUGUAUAAGAUAGCGGACAUCUGGCGUAUUGUUGACAGUCUGAAAAUAUGCACCCCUCCGGUGUUCAGCGGGAUUGUUGCUGGUCUGAAAAAUUAGAACGUACAUAAGACCUUAAAAAUUGUAAAAUUCGUUAUUUUUUAAAAAUUACUUACCAUAAAAUCCACCCUGUGACGAGGAGAGUCCAUCCCUUCCUGCAAAUUGACCAUUACCAGAACGACAACAAGUUUUUCGCGACAUUCUCCACCCGCACUCGUUCUGUCGUUCCCCUGAGCGAGAGUUCCCCUCUGAGAAUCCCGCCGGGCAGGUGGGGUUAUCUGCGCCGGUCGUGUUAAAGCUCGUGGGAUACUGUCCCUCGGCGCAGCAGUGAAGCUUCUGCUCGUUAGAACCACAGCCAACCGUAUCCCGGCUCCAUUCCCGGUAGUUAUUGGGGCACCUUAAGUUCGCUCCAAACUCACAGGACGUAUCGUAGCACGGGGGUAGUUGUCCGGGGCGACAGCAAAGUUUCCGUUCCCGGCCUUGUGUGCAAUCUAAAAAUAUUUAAAUGCGGGAAUUUUUUUUUGCAAUUUUUGAAAAUAUUUAUGGACCAAGUUUUUUUAAAUUUCCGUACAACUUUUGUCCGGUGAUAGUUCCUGCGAGUGUGUGACGGGGCAUCGUGGAUACGUGUCACAAAUAGUGUACUGACAAGAGUCUCGAAAAUCGUGGCUACCUAUAAGAAAUACUAGGCAAAUCUGUAUACGUGUAUAGGUAUUAUAGGACGACACUAUGAAAAGCUUAUACAUAAUUUUGAAAAAAUUAAAAAACAAAUUUUUUUUGAAAAAUUUGGUAGUAAUUAGCUACCAUCGUGUUUAAAACAAUUUUGGUGUUCAAGUAGGCUAUAUUCGGUAAUAAUUUGAGGUGAGAGAGUUUAGGAAAUCUUACCCUGGUAAUUCUGUUGCUGAUUAAAAUUUGGAUUCUGCGUUGGGUAAUUAUUAUUUUGGGGACAAUUUCUGUCGUAAUUUUGUUGAUUAUUUGAAAAUGGAUUGUUUCUCGGUUGGCUAUUAAAGGGAUUCUGAUUCUGUCGGUUUAUAUCGUAUCCAGAUCUGCAACAAGUCCGUGAUGGGCGGCGUUUACAGAAAUCCAAAACUUUGGGUAUCUCGUUGAAAACAAAGGGAGAAAAAUGCAUUUUCACAUGCCGAAAGGAGAGAGCGCCAGCAGUGCGCAAUCUUAAAGGCCCUGCUCUCUCCCGAUGUCGAAAAAACGAGGGAUGCGGCGCGAGCGUGACAAAGAUGUGGAAUCCUUUUUUAUUUAAGUACAAUCAUCCACGUGUGACAACUCUAAAUAAAUUGGAAUUUGAAUAUUCAUUAACAGAUCUAUCGAA